rnacentral:rRNA from 1 species
ACUUAAAUUGAAGAGUUUGAUCAUGGCUCAGAUUGAACGCUGGCGGCAGGCCUAACACAUGCAAGUCGAGCGGUAGCACAGAGAGCUUGCUCUCGGGUGACGAGCGGCGGACGGGGGAGUAAUGUCUGGGAAACUGCCUGAUGGAGGGGGAUAACUACUGGAAACGGUAGCUAAUACCGCAUAACGUCGCAAGACCAAAGUGGGGGACCUUCGGGCCUCAUGCCAUCAGAUGUGCCCAGAUGGGAUUAGCUAGUAGGUGGGGUAACGGCUCACCUAGGCGACGAUCCCUAGCUGGUCUGAGAGGAUGACCAGCCACACUGGAACUGAGACACGGUCCAGACUCCUACGGGAGGCAGCAGUGGGGAAUAUUGCACAAUGGGCGCAAGCCUGAUGCAGCCAUGCCGCGUGUGUGAAGAAGGCCUUCGGGUUGUAAAGCACUUUCAGCGGGGAGGAAGGCGAUAAGGUUAAUAACCUUGUCGAUUGACGUUACCCGCAGAAGAAGCACCGGCUAACUCCGUGCCAGCAGCCGCGGUAAUACGGAGGGUGCAAGCGUUAAUCGGAAUUACUGGGCGUAAAGCGCACGCAGGCGGUCUGUCAAGUCGGAUGUGAAAUCCCCGGGCUCAACCUGGGAACUGCAUUCGAAACUGGCAGGCUAGAGUCUUGUAGAGGGGGGUAGAAUUCCAGGUGUAGCGGUGAAAUGCGUAGAGAUCUGGAGGAAUACCGGUGGCGAAGGCGGCCCCCUGGACAAAGACUGACGCUCAGGUGCGAAAGCGUGGGGAGCAAACAGGAUUAGAUACCCUGGUAGUCCACGCCGUAAACGAUGUCGAUUUGGAGGUUGUGCCCUUGAGGCGUGGCUUCCGGAGCUAACGCGUUAAAUCGACCGCCUGGGGAGUACG